GAUGAACGCUGGCUACAGGCUUAACACAUGCAAGUCGAGGGACCGGCGCACGGGUGAGUAACACGUAUCCAACCUGCCCUUUACUCGGGGAUAGCCUUUCGAAAGAAAGAUUAAUACCUGAUAUAAAGGACGGGGAUGCGUUCCAUUAGGUUGUUGGUGAGGUAACGGCCCACCAAGCCUUCGAUGGAUAGGGGUUCUGAGAGGAAGGACCCCGACAUUGGAACUGGGACACGGUCCAAACUCGUAGGGGAGGCAGGAGUGAGGAAUAAAGGGCAAGGAGCGUUAGCCUGAACCAGCCAAGUAGCGUGAAGGAUGAAGGCUUAUGAAUCGUAGACUUCUGUUAUAAAAGAAUAUGUAUUAAAUGAAUAAGGAUCGGCUAACUCCGUGCCAGCAGCCGCGGUAAUAC
rnacentral:rRNA from 1 species